GGGCGCAUAGCUCAGCGGUAGAGCAUAGGACUGCAGUUCCCGUGGUCGUUGGUUCAAUUCCGACUGUGCCCU
rfam:Entamoeba invadens IP1 unplaced genomic scaffold scaff_1105074726489, whole genome shotgun sequence.